rnacentral:rRNA from 1 species
UACGUAGGGUGCAAGCGUUAAUCGGAAUUACUGGGCGUAAAGCGUGCGCAGGCGGUUAUGCAAGACCGAGGUGAAAUCCCCGGGCUCAACCUGGGAACUGCCUUUGUGACUGCAUAGCUAGAGUACGGUAGAGGGGGAUGGAAUUCCGCGUGUAGCAGUGAAAUGCGUAGAUAUGCGGAGGAACACCGAUGGCGAAGGCAGCCCCCUGGGCUAACACUGACGCUCAGGCACGAAAGCGUGGGGAGCAAACAGG